rnacentral:sRNA from 1 species
AAAACCAAAACCGUGAUGUGAUGAUCCC